GACGAACGCUGGCGGCGUGCUUAACACAUGCAAGUCGAACGGAAAGGCCUGUCCUUCCUUGUGUUGGACGGGUACUCGAGUGGCGAACGGGUGAGUAACACGUGAGUGAUCUGCCCCCAACUUGGGUAUAAGCCUGGGAAACUGGGUCUAAUUCCCGAUAGGACUGCAGGGUGGUGCCUGUGGUGGAAAACGAUUUUCUAGUGGUUGGGGAUGAGCUCGCGGCCUAUCAGCUUGUUGGUGGGGUAAUGGCCUACCAAGGCGGCGACGGGUAGCCGGCCUGAGAGGGUGGACGGCCACAGUGGGACUGAGAUACGGCCCAGACUCCUACGGGAGGCAGCAGUGGGGAAUAUUGCACAAUGGGCGGAAGCCUGAUGCAGCGACGCCGCGUGGAGGAUGACGGCCUUCGGGUUGUAAACUCCUUUCGACCGCGAGGAAGCCGCCUGGUUGGAAGGGUGGUGACGGUAGUGGUAGAAGAAGCACCGGCUAACUACGUG
rnacentral:rRNA from 1 species